AGCGAACGCUGGCGGCAGGCCUAAUACAUGCAAGUCGAACGGCUCUUCGGAGCAGUGGCGGACGGGUGAGUAACGCGUGGGAAUGUGCCCUUUGGUACGGAACAACACAGGGAAACUUGUGCUAAUACCGUAUGUGCCCUUCGGGGGAAAGAUUUAUCGCCAUUAGAGCAGCCCGCGUUGGAUUAGGUAGUUGGUGAGGUAAAUGCUCACCAAGCCUACGAUCCAUAGCUGGUCUGAGAGGAUGACCAGCCACACUGGGACUGAGACACGGCCCAGACUCCUACGGGAGGCAGCAGUAGGGAAUCUUGCGCAAUGGGCGAAAGCCUGACGCAGCCAUGCCGCGUGUAUGAUGAAGGUCUAAGGAUUGUAAAAUACUUUCACCGGGGAAGAUAAUGACGGUACCCGGAGAAGAAGCCCCGGCUAACUUCGUGCCAGCCGCCGCCGUAAGAC
rnacentral:rRNA from 1 species